UACGUAGGUGGCAAGCGUUGUCCGGAUUUAUUGGGUUUAAAGGGUGCGUAGGCGGUUCCAUAAGUCAGUGGUGAAAUCCGACAGCUCAACUGUCGAUGUGCCAUUGAUACUGCGGAACUUGAGUACAGACGAGGUAGGCGGAAUUGACGGUGUAGCGGUGAAAUGCUUAGAUAUCGUCAAGAACACCGAUAGCGAAGGCAGCUUACUAGACUGUAACUGACGCUGAUGCACGAAAGGGUGGGGAUCAAACAGG
rnacentral:rRNA from 1 species